rnacentral:rRNA from 1 species
UACGGGGGGGGCAAGCGUUGUUCGGAAUUACUGGGCGUAAAGGGCGCGUAGGCGGCUACUUAUGUCGGAUGUGAAAGCCCUUGGCUCAACUGAGGAAGUGCACCCGAAACUGAGUAGCUGGAGUACGAAAGAGGGUCGCGGAAUUCCCGGUGUAGAGGUGAAAUUCGUAGAUAUCGGGAGGAACACCGGUGGCGAAGGCGGCGACCUGGGUCGAUACUGACGCUGAGGCGCGAAAGCGUGGGGAGCAAACAGG